rnacentral:rRNA from 1 species
UGACCUCAAAUCAGGNAGGAAUANCCGCUGAACUUAAGCAUAUCAAUAAGCGGAGGA